AUGUCCUGCCUGGAUAGAAACACGAGCAGUCCUUUGGCCGGGUGGCUAGCGCGCUACGCCCGCGUGCCGCAGGUGGCAGCCCUUAUUGAACUUCCCCUACUGGAUAGAUCGUUUACCUGGUCGAAUAACCUUACACGGUAUGUGUCCGACCAUGUCCCUCUAAUUAUCAGCAUCAACACCUCAAUCCCCCGUCCCGCGCUUUUUCGUUUCGAACUAGGUUGGGCCCAAUCUCCGGCCUGUCGAGGUGUGGUCCAAUCUUCAUGGGCUGCUGCCCCGCUGCUCUCAAACACCCCCCUUUCCCUAACCCGUGUGUUAAAGAAAUGUCGUUUCGCCCUACGAUCGUGGCGAAAGUCGAUUCUUCCGAUCUCUGUGCAGGAGAAAAACUGCAAAACUGUCAUAGACCUUCUUGACUGGAUCGAAGAGUCUCGUUUCCUCUCGCAGCCCGAGCUUGCCCUGCGCCGAGUAGUUAUUAAGGUUCUACACCGCAUCACCCGUGAACAAAUCAUUUACUGGCGGCUUAGAUCAAAAAUUAAAUCGGCUAUCGACGGGGACGAGAAUUCCAGAUUUUUCCACGCCUCUGCCUCUCACAGACAUCGUCAUAACAAAAUCCCCAUGAUAUUGCAUGAUAACCAAGAAUUCAACUCACACGAAUCAAAAGUGGAAAUCAUCUCCUCUUUCUUUUCCUCCAUUCUCGGAUUAUCUUCAGCUCCAACAUGGAACUUCUCACUCCAAAGCCUCUACCCCUCACAAACACCACGGCUACUUCGCGUAGACUCGCCUUUCUCGGGACAGGAAGUUUAUGACGCCUUCGCAGACAUGAACCUCAUGGCUAGCCCUGGUCCUGACGGAUUUGGGUCGGGUUUCUACCAAAAAAUUUGGUCGAUCCUUAAGCAGAAAGUGACAGAUCUAUUCUCCAUCUUCUACAAUCACUCCGCUGAUAUUUUAUGUAUUAACCGAGCUUACAUUGUUCUCCUUCCAAAAGGGGAUGCCCUCCCUUCUCCUGACGCUUUCCGCCCUAUUUCGCUUCAAAAUUGCCCGGUUAAAGCACUCGCCAAGCUUCUCACAAACCGCCUCAAACCUAUUAUCCCGCUGCUUGUCCACCCGGAUCAAACAGGUUUCCUUUUGGGUAGGACAAUCUUGGAAAACUUUCUAUACGCCGCAGAUGUUCUCAACGAUGUCAGUCUGUCGGGUGCCCCCGACGCCAGGACCCUACUUAAUGGCGCCGCCUUCACCACCAAGGGCGCCUACGACGCGAUGGCUUCCCAGCUGGCCGACCCUACUCUUGCUCGUAUCUGGGACUCGCGUGUCCCCAGCAGAGUGAGGGUGUUUGGCUGGCUUUUCUACCUCGACCGGCUCAACACUCGGGCAAACUUGCUCCGAAAGUCCAUCAUCGACUCUGCCGCUUGCCCCCGAUGCGCUGCUGCGUCCGAAGACCGGGCACACCUCUUCUUCCACUGUCCGACAACUCAUGCCAUUUGGGAUGCCAUUGGUCUACACCCUUGCUCUACCCCCUUUGCACAUCUUUGGGUCUCCCAUGGGCACCCGGGUCUCCCUGAGUCAGUAUGGCCUCUCAUUCUUCUUCUUAUCAUUUGGAAAAUUUGGGACGCCCGUAAUGCUAAAACUUUUAGGGAUCUAGAUGUCUCACCCCAUGAUGUUACUAGGGGCAUCAUCGUGGAUCUUACAUUGUGGUCUCAUCGCCUUAAGAAGGUGGAGGACAUAGUUCACACCGGCCUGUGGCGGGACUAUUUUACCUGUCGCCUUGUCUAA
rnacentral:rRNA from 1 species